CAGCCGCCGCGGUAAAACGUAGGGCGCAAGCGUUAUCCGGAAUUAUUGGGCGUAAAGAGCUCGUAGGCGGUUUGUCGCGUCUGCCGUGAAAGUCCGGGGCUCAACCCCGGAUCUGCGGUGGGUACGGGCAGACUAGAGUGAUGUAGGGGAGACUGGAAUUCCUGGUGUAGCGGUGAAAUGCGCAGAUAUCAGGAGGAACACCGAUGGCGAAGGCAGGUCUCUGGGCAUUAACUGACGCUGAGGAGCGAAAGCAUGGGGAGCGAACAGGAUUAGAUACCCCCGUAGUCCCUGUCUCUUAUAA
rnacentral:rRNA from 1 species